AUGGAUGAGGUCACAAGGGGUAUACAAGGAGAUAUCCCAUGGUGUAUGCUCUUUGCGGAUGAUGUGGUGCUAGUUGACGAUAGUCGGACGGGGGUAAAUAGGAAGUUAGAGUUAUGGAGACAAACCUUGGAAUCGAAAGGGUUUAGGCUUAGUAGAACUAAAACCGAGUACAUGAUGUGCGGUUUCAGUACUACUAGCUGUGAGGAGGAGGAGGUUAGCCUUGAUGGCCAGGUGGUACCUCGGAAGGACACCUUUCGGUAUUUGGGGUCAAUGUUGCAGGAGGAUGGGGGUAUUGAUGAAGAUGUGAACCAUCGAAUCAAAGACGGAUGGAUGAAGUGGCGCCAAGCUUCUGGCAUUCUCUGUGACAAGAGAGUGCCACAAAAGCUAAAAGGCAAGUUCUACAGGACGGCGGUUCGACCCGCAAUGUUGUAUGGCGCGGAGUGUUGGCCGACUAAAAGGCGACAUGUUCAACAGUUAGGUGUGGCGGAGAUGCGUAUGUUGAGAUGGAUGUGUGGCCACACGAGGAAGGAUCGAGUCCGGAAUGAUGAUAUACGAGAUAGAGUUGGGGUAGCACCAAUUGAGGAGAAGCUUGUCCAACAUCGUUUGAGAUGGUUUGGGCAUAUUUAG
rnacentral:rRNA from 1 species